rfam:Orchesella cincta Ocin01_Sc3248, whole genome shotgun sequence.
GCCAACGGCCAUACCACGUUGAACACACCAGUUCUCGUCCGAUCACUGAAGUUAAGCAACGUCGGGCCGGUUAGUACUUGGAUGGGUGACCGCCUGGGAAUCCUGGGUGCUGUUGGUA